CAGCAGCCGCGGGAAUACGAAGGGUGCAAGCGUUAAUCGGAAUUACUGGGCGUAAAGCGCGCGUAGGUGGUUCAUUAAGUUGGAUGUGAAAGCCCUGGGCUCAACCUGGGAACUGCAUCCAAAACUGGUGAGCUAGAGUACGGUAGAGGGUAGUGGAAUUUCCUGUGUAGCGGUGAAAUGCGUAGAUAUAGGAAGGAACACCAGUGGCGAAGGCGACUACCUGGACUGAUACUGACACUGAGGUGCGAAAGCGUGGGGAGCAAACAGGAUUAGAUACCCGAGUAGUCCCUGUCUCUUAUAA
rnacentral:rRNA from 1 species